rnacentral:rRNA from 1 species
UGCAGUCAAGGAGAAAAUUUUCUUCGGAAAAUGAGUAAACUGGCGAACGGGUGAGUAACACGUAGGCAACCUGCCCUAGAGAUUGGGAUAACUUCGGGAAACCGGAGCUAAUACCGGAUAAUGCAGCGGGUCCUUCGGGACAUUGUUGUUAAAGCUGGCUUCGGCUAGUACUUUAGGAUGGGCCUGCGUCCGAUUAGCUUGUUGGUAGGGUAACGGCCUACCAAGGCGAUGAUCGGUAGCUGGUCUGAGAGGAUGAUCAGCCACACUGGGAUUGAGAUACGGCCCAGACUCCUACGGGAGGCAGCAGUGGGGAAUUUUGCGCAAUGGGCGAAAGCCUGACGCAGCAACGCCGCGUGACCGAUGAAGCUUCUAGGAGUGUAAAGGUCUGUCGUGAGGGAAGAAAAAUCCGGAUGUAAAUAAUGUUCGGACGUGACGGUACCUCACAAGAAAGCACCGGCUAACUUCGUGCCAGCAGCCGCGGUAAUACGAGGGGUGCUAGCGUUGUCCGGAAUCACUGGGCGUAAAGGGUCCGUAGGCGUUUUGCUAAGUUGAUUGUUAAAUCCAUCGGCUCAACCGAUGAUCUGCAAUCAAAACUGGUAGAAUAGAGUUCGAGAGAGGAAAGUAGAAUUCCUGGUGUAGCGGUGACAUGCGUAGAUAUCAGGAGGAACACCAAUGGCGAAGGCAGCUUUCUGGCUCGAUACUGACGCUGAGGGACGAAAGCGUGGGGAGCGAACAGGAUUA